rnacentral:lncRNA from 1 species
AAGAAUCUGGAAAGUGGAAACGGGGCAGAAGCUGGGAAAUUCGAGAAAAAGAGGGAGAAAAAGAGAAAAAAGAAAGGAAAUGGAAGAGGCUGAUGAUUUUUGUAAGUUUGGGUUCUUCAUUUCUUCAGCUUGUCCUUAUUUUAAAGAGGUAAGUUAAAUAAAUUUCUAGGAAAUUUCUAGGGUUUAUGAACCAUUCAUUUAAAUUCGAAGUUUAGCAAUAAUUAGAGAUUAUUAUUAUGUUUUUGAGGUAUUAAACAAGAAUAUAUCAAAGGAAUAUAUAUUUGAAAAUUUGUGAUGAAGAAAAUGGAAUUUUGAAGGGGUUUGUGAGGUAAGUGCUUACUCUUUGAUUUUCUUGUGAUUAUAUAAUACUGAACACUUAAAUUAGGGAUUUGAGAUUGGAAUUUUCCAUUUUUUUAAGGUAAUUUUUGGGUUACUGCAGUAUAGGUGUUGUUUCUGAAAGUGUGCCCAGAAUGGUGCCACUUCUGUCAAUAGUUUUGGUGGCAGAUUUCAAUAUCUAGAAAUUGGAGUCAGAUUUCAAUAUUCUGGAAUUUUAGUGAUGUCUUUGUCAAACCUUUGAUUUUCACAUUUUAAAGGCUUGAAUGAAGUUUUAUGACAAGUAUUGAGGUUUAUGUAUGGGAAUAAAUUAUGCAUAGGGGUUGUAUAUGUAUAAGUUAUUGAUUUUAAGGAAGUGUGAGUAAUUUAAUGGAUUUAAUAAUGCAUGGUGUUUAGUUGAUGAAUCAAUAAAGAAAAUAAAAGUUGGGGAAUUGGAGAUGUAAAAGUAAAUAUAGAAGUUGAGGAGUUAAGUGGUGAAAUUGUAUUAAUUUAAUUGUCAAGUUUUAAUUUGAGUAACUAUACGGUUAUUUCAAGUAGUGACGUGAAAGUUUAGAAAGACUCGUCAAUUUAAGCAGAUUUUUAUCCAUAGAUCUGUGAGUGGAAAAACUUAAAUAUUUUAAAAGUGUUUAUAAAUUAAGUAUAUGUGCAAUUAUAUGUUUGAUUUUAUAAUUAUUAUAGAAGUUUCUUUUAUUAUGAUCCAUGCAGAAUUUCGAGAAUUAUUUAUUAUAUAUUUGUGACUUGGUAUAUGAGAUAUGUGAUAUUAAGAUUUGUUUGGUAUGUGAGACGUGAUAUUGAGAUCGAUCAGAAAAGUACCUGUGAUUAUGUAUUUCUUCUACUUCACAGAGGGGCCUUGAUCGUGUUCUAUCCUACACGGAGGGUCUUGACCUGACAUUGGUCUUGAUCGUAUCAUAUAGUUCACAGAGGGGUUUUGGCCAUGUUUUAGAAUUGAUUAUGAGAGGUCUUUGAGAUCGACUUUCGUUCACGGAGGGGGUCAAAAGCCGGUGGCGAAAGUUUUUAACCCGAGGGACGGAUUAUAUAUUUUAGUCAGAGGGUACAUUUCUGGUGGAUUUUUCAGUACAUUUGAUGUGAUGAGAUUGUGGCAUAAUUACUAGUUUAUGAUCAUAUCAUGAUUUUGAGAUGAUAUUUUUCGACCUCAUAUGAAUAUUUCACUUUUGGUUAUAAUUACUUGAUGUUAUCUUAUGAAUUAUUAUAUGAUAUAAAUUCGAUUUUCGAUAAAAAUAUAAAAUUAAAAAAGUAUAAUUAUUUUUGAAUUUUUUCACUCAUUGAGUUAUUAACUCAUAUAUUUUUCUCAAGAUUUUUCUACAAGUAGUAAUUGAUUCUUUUUAGCAGGAAGAGUCUAAUGAUUUAGGAAUGAGAGCCACACGAUAUGUUGAAUAUUAUAACUCAUAUUAAUGAAGCACGAAAUAAAUAUUUUGGGCCCAUCGUAUUAUGUUUUACAUAAUCAUUUGAUUUUGUUCCAUUUUUUGAAAUAACUCAUAAUCAACCUUGGUUAUAGAUUUAACAUCUAGUCAGUAUCUAUCAUCGGUGCACGUCGCGUUUCGAGUCCACUAGGGUGAUUUGGGACGGGUCGUGUCAAUUAACAAGAGACGGAGAGAGGACUGGGAAUCUAGAGACCAUUUUUUUUAUUCCCACAUUGACAAGAAGAGUUGAUUGAUAUCUACCUACAAAGUACAAACAUCUUUCUUGAUCCCAUAUCGCAAACCUGAGAAAGAAGCACUAAAGAUGAAUUAUAUAAAUAUGUGGGCCAAAUAUAAAUUUGUGGACAGUCAAUUUCUUGGGCUGAAAUUUGAAAACAACAUUUGAUAAAGUAUUUAACUCGGAAAAAUCGGCAAAACCUGUUGCGGGUCGUCCGGUCAACGGUAUGAGUGGUUGAAAUUUCGAUUUUUUACCGGUUCUAAUUAAAAACGGUCUAAAGCAAUGACCGACCUGGAUAUUGGUUCGGUUCCCCAUUUUCCCAAUUGAACCGAUCGGUAUAGUCCGAUUUUCAAGACAUUGCAUAGAAUCAUUGGAAGAUGGAGAGGGAGAAAAAAUAGGCACAUCACGCAUCGAAACGUCAACAUCGAUAUGAAUUCUGUCAAUAUUUUCUUGUACUCAUAACUUUUUCCUUAAAUGGAUGAUUACCUGAAAAUUCUAGUAUUCCUCAUUGUCGCUCUUUACACAUUUAGUACGUGUUCAUCAACCUCCUUAAAGAUCUUUAUUUUAUACAUGUCAUUUGAGGUUUGACAUGUUAAUAUAACUUAAAGUUAGCCAAAGCAUUUUCAAAUAAUUUUAAGUCGUGCAUAAAGAAUUAGUUAGUAAUACAUAAGACAUAUCAUAAAGUACAAUUAAUUAAAUGAUGAUUAUUCGAUCCAAUGGGGAAAUAAUAAUCUUAAGAAUUUAAUUGCAAUAAAUAAUUAUUAAAUGUUGAAACAAGAAAUUUCCUCAGCUCACAUGUACGAAAUAUAUUUGUAUUUGAUAUUACUAAAGUCUUCGUAAAUUCAAUGUGUGAUAACAACCUCUAUUCACAUGAAGGUUUGAAUUUACAUAUUUCAAUUGUCAUUAGUUAAUUCAAUAUAAAAAUAAUCUUUAUAGUAUUAAUAAAU